GCUCGGGUGGCGGAAUUGGUAGACGCGCUAGACUCAAAAUCUUGUGAGGGUAACCUCGUGUGGGUUCGAGCCCCACCCCGAGUA
rnacentral:tRNA from 1 species